rnacentral:rRNA from 1 species
CCUACGGGGUGCAGCAGUGGGGAAUAUUGGGCAAUGGGCGCAAGCCUGACCCAGCAAAGCCGCGUGAAGGAAGAAGGCUUUCGGGUUGUAAACUUCUUUUGACAGGGAAGAGUAGAAGACGGUACCUGUCGAAUAAGCCACGGCUAACUACGUGCCAGCAGCCGCGGUAAUACGUAGGUAGCAAGCGUUGUCCGGAUUUACUGGGUGUAAAGGGCGUGUAGCCGGGUUGACAAGUCAGAUGUGAAAUCCUGCGGCUUAACCGCAGAACUGCAUUUGAAACUGUUGAUCUUGAGUACUGGAGAGGCAGACGGAAUUCCUAGUGUAGCGGUGAAAUGCGUAGAUAUUAGGAGGAACACCAGUGGCGAAGGCAGUCUGCUGGACAGCAACUGACGGUGAGGCGCGAAAGCGUGGGGAGCAAACAGGAUUAGAUACCCGAGUAGUC